rnacentral:rRNA from 1 species
ACACGGAGGGCGCAAGCGUUGCUCGGAAUCACUGGGCGUAAACCGGGUGUAGGCGGUCUAGCAAGUCAGAUGUGAAAGCCCACGGCUCAACCGUGGAAGUGCAUCUGAAACUGCUAGACUUGAGUGCCGGAGAGGGAAGUGGAAUUCCUGGUGUAGGGGUGAAAUCCGUAGAUAUCAGGAGGAACACCGGUGGCGAAGGCGACUUCCUGGACGGCCACUGACGCUGAGACCCGAAAGCGUGGGGAGCAAACAGGAUUAGAAACCCCAGUAGUCC